rnacentral:lncRNA from 1 species
AUACCGAGUGCCACAAACCACCUUGCAGCAACAGAGUCAUAAACUGAAGAGGAUAGAAAGGAUUUUAAUAGGAGAUUAAAAGGAAGAAGUGACUCACUGGAUGAGAGAAAAGAGGGAGUGCGCAGGCUUUGACUGCAGGAGAGCUGCUUUGUGAUGCCUCUGAGUGCACCGAGGAUCCCAGCUGUGGAUCCAGCAAAUUUCUUCGGUGUUGGAGGACAGAAGCAGCGGGUGGGAGAGAGGCAGCCAGGAGGCAGAGAUGAAGGGGACAGCCAAGGCACUGUGCAGAGAAUGGGAGGGAAGAAGGAGCCGCUGUGGGGAGUGCACUGUGUGCGCUACCUGACACACAUACAACCCACAUGCUGCCUGAAUCAAAGCAUCUUUUAUAAAUAACCCCUGGGAAGAAGGUCUCCACAACGACAGCUGAAAAGAUUCAAAGCAAAACACACACGGCAAAGGCGAUCCCGUACCUGAAUAUGAGAAUUUCCUUUACUUGAUUGACGGUGGCUUAUAGAUGUCCCCAGAAUGACUCAGAGAAGCCUUUUGCAGAAGUCUGGAACCUGAGAGUCAGGAAUUCAUGAGAAACAUGGACAGCCCCCACCUCUGAGGUUGCAGAUUCCCAGAGUAGGAGGAAGACCACAUCCCCAUAGAAGCAGCCUAGGAUCAUGCCUUUGAGAAAAGCAUAAAACCACUGAGACUGUGUUAAUCUUAUUUCUGGCAUAUUUUUUUUUGUAUUAGUGAUUUUGGCCCAGUUUUUGAGUUAAUGUAUAGUCCUUUCUUCUUCUAAAAAAGAAAAUGCAAAAUGUGGGAAAGGAGUGGAAACAGAUGACUACAGUUUGUGAGUCAGUCUGAGAAAGAAACAGCCAGUAUCUACAUUCAGUACACUUUGUGUAUGUCACCAGGGUCUCAAUGGGUGAAGCUGGAAAAAUAACAUCAACUUGAGUUCUGUGACUGAAAAAAAACCCAUGGUAUUUUCUCAAAUCAGAUUAGUCAGUUUUUGUCAUUCAAUUCCAGAAAAAGUUUUGCUUCAAGAUUGGGGUUAUUUAAAUCAUUUCCAUAAUCUUUUCCCCUCUUUCAGUUCAGUUAGGAAUUGAUAAAUACAUUUCAAAGCAAAGAGUCAACAGGCUUGUGUUCUUUAAAUAUCAGAGUGAAUUGUCUCAAGGAUUUCAAAAUUUCUUGCCACCUGCCACUUCCUGGGUAUUUUUCAUUGGCUGAAAAUGCGUUGUGUCUCACCUUAACCUAUUUUGAUUUCCCUGAAAUGCUGUCUUCCAAAAGAUUCAGUGUUCAUCGCCAAAAAAAUUUUC